UCAUCAUCAUCAUCAUCAUC
rnacentral:miRNA from 1 species